UGCUGGUCUGAGUGCAGUGGUGUUUACAGCUAAUUGAUCACAACCAGUUCCAGAUUCCUUUGUUCUUCUCCACUCCCACUGCUUCACUUGACUAGCCUUAA
rnacentral:Y_RNA from 1 species